rnacentral:rRNA from 1 species
GAUGAACGCUGGCGGCGUGCCUAAUACAUGCAAGUCGAGCGAACAGACGAGGAGCUUGCUCCUCUGACGUUAGCGGCGGACGGGUGAGUAACACGUGGAUAACCUACCUAUAAGACUGGGAUAACUUCGGGAAACCGGAGCUAAUACCGGAUAAUAUAUUGAACCGCAUGGUUCAAUAGUGAAAGACGGUUUUGCUGUCACUUAUAGAUGGAUCCGCGCCGCAUUAGCUAGUUGGUAAGGUAACGGCUUACCAAGGCAACGAUGCGUAGCCGACCUGAGAGGGUGAUCGGCCACCCGGGAACGGAGACACGGUCCAGACUCCUACGGGAGGCAGCAGUAGGGAAUCUUCCGCAAUGGGCGAAAGCCUGACGGAGCAACGCCGCGUGAGUGAUGAAGGUCUUCGGAUCGUAAAACUCUGUUAUUAGGGAAGAACAAAUGUGUAAGUAACUAUGCACGUCUUGACGGUACCUAAUCAGAAAGCCACGGCUAACUACGUG